rnacentral:rRNA from 1 species
AUUGAACGCUGGCGGCAGGCCUAACACAUGCAAGUCGAGCGGAUGAGAGGAGCUUGCUUCUCGAUUCAGCGGCGGACGGGUGAGUAAUGCCUAGGAAUCUGCCUGGUAGUGGGGGACAACGUUUCGAAAGGAACGCUAAUACCGCAUACGUCCUACGGGAGAAAGCAGGGGACCUUCGGGCCUUGCGCUAUCAGAUGAGCCUGGGUCGGAUUAGCUAGUUGGUGAGGUAAUGGCUCACCAAGGCGACGAUCCGUAACUGGUCUGAGAGGAUGAUCAGUCACACUGGAACGGAGACACGGUCCAGACUCCUACGGGAGGCAGCAGUGGGGAAUAUUGGACAAUGGGCGAGAGCCUGAUCCAGCCAUGCCGCGUGUGCGAAGAAGGUCUUCGGAUUGUAAAGCACUUUAAGUUGGGAGGAAGGGUUGUAGAUUAAUACUCUGCAAUUUUGACGUUACCGACAGAAUAAGCACCGGCUAACUCUGUGCCAGCCGCCGCCGUAACAC